AUAAUAUUAAACAUAUUAGUUUUAAAAUAAACUACAUCUUUACAUGAAAAAUUGUAAAUUGUAUUAUUUUUUUUUGUCGUCACAGGCUACCACGAUUAUAUUAUGUUAAAUUAUAAAUAAAUAAAUGCAAUAACAAAAGAAACGAAUAACGAGCAAUAAUCUAAAAUAUAAGUGGGGCAAAAAGCCAACGAAAUCGGAUUUCACGAACAGUAUUAUAUUUCAAAUUGUAAAUAUUUUAUACGUCAAAUUGUAAUUAGUCACGUGUAUUGUUACUGGGGCCAAGUUACAGAUCGUAUGAACCUACCUACAUGUGCUAAUAUUUUGUUCAUUCAUCAGAUAUAGUGUUUAUUACUCAGUGGGUUCCACGAUAAGUUCGUCUGUGAGUUGAUUGGUCGGAUUGGAUAAAAUAAAUUUGCAAAUGGCAACGAUCAAUAUUGCAAUACAAUAUGAAGAACAUUGAUAUGUUUAUUCAUGAGCAUACCAAAGAUCACCUUCGAACUUAAAUAUUGAAGCAUUAAAAAUGCUUCAAAAAAUGAUAAAACGUGAUGAUUGAUGACAUAUAAACAAACAAAAAGGGAAGAAAGUAGGUAAACGCUCUGCUAUGGAGUUAGAUGUUGGUGUCGAGUGAACCUCGUCAUUGAGUAACUGUAAUGGAUGUAUUAAAUUUGAAUUCAAUGAUAAAUCUUUUACGAAAAACAAUUCUGAGCAAAGACGGUCAAUCAGCUUAUAUUACGAAAUAUAUUUUAUGAUAUAUUUAUUUUUAUAUUACUAUUAAAGAAAUUUAUUUUACUAUUAGUAAUACAGUACCUAAUUAGUACUUAUUUAAUAUUUUAACGAUAAUUAUA